GCGUCUGUAGCUCAACUGGAUAGAGCAUCGGUCUACGAAACCGAAGGUUUCAGGUUCGAAUCCUGACAGACGCG
rnacentral:tRNA from 2 species